GUGAAAAGGUGCGUAAUGUACGAAAUCAAGGUGUGCAGCAUUGGGAUGGGAAAACGAAGAGUGGGGCGAGAGGCACUAUAUACUAUAUGAUAUAAGACUGUAUGAGUAAGGUAAACUAGAAGCUACUGAUUGUAUGCGCUUAUCUACACAGAAGUUCAUUAAUUCGUUCUUUUUGAGGACUCAGGGUCAGAGGAGUACCAGGAAGAACGGAGCUUAGCCUGGACCAGCCUGGACACCUGGUAACUCCUUUUCGUGAAGCUCUAGUUGCAGCGAGGAAUAUAGGAUAUAAAACUAAAUUACAAUUUACAGGGUGUCCCAAAAAUGUUGUAACACCUUGAAAGGGGUGGUUCG